UUUUUCCGACUCCGAACGAGUCCGAAACAUCGAAAUUUAAGUUUGAAGGGUUGUAGAAUUUUGACGCGGCGGUGACGUGGCAGAGCCACGCGACGCCACGUGGCUGCGGAGGGAAAUCUGGAAAUUUCCAGAUUUUAGGACGAUUUUCGUCCAUUUUUUCCCUCAACUUCAACAUAAGAUUUCUCCUUCAUUUUGAGUCCAAAUUAGGUCCUUCAAAAGGCUAACUUCAAGAGAAUUUCGUGGGGAAUCUAGCGGUGAUCUCAGAAACGCGAGGGGAGGCUUCGUUUGAGUGGGGAAGCAUUUGGAGACCGUUCGGAGGGGAAAAGAUCCGGUACCGUGAGUUGGAGCACGCGUGAUCGGCUUUCAGGUCCGAGAACUAGUAGCCAGCGUUGAUCGAGCUUGGAGUAGACUUAUCCGGAGACGGGGGUGAGCACAUGGCGUUUUGUACUAUUUCAGUCUCCAUCUGUAUAUAUAGACUUGUCUUUUUCCUUUCGAGACAGUCCAGUUGUUGUUGU